AUGAAUUUGUUGAAUAUAACAUGUGCGGAAAGACAGGUGAUAGGUAUGACUUGUGUGGACUUGGUCAAACAAGAAGUGAUACAUUGAAGAGGAGGGUUUUUGAUGAAAGUAAUGUGUUGAAGUGCUAUUACUUACAGGUUGUUCGACCAAAGAAGAUACAGUUGAAGAAAAUUCGAAAAGAACAUGAGAAAAAGAUGCAUCAGAAGAGACAAGACAGAAUUUGACUAUGUAUGAGGAAAUGCUGAUGAAUGGUUCAGAAGAAGAUGUAAAGAAACAGUCAGAAGAGGAUUUUGACAAAGAAACUGUUGAAGAGUGUAUGCAUUCUUGGGAGAAUUGAAUAAAUCAGCCUGUGAGUUUUGAAGUAUGGUUGCUGGAUGGUUGCAGUUUCCUGCAUUUAAAGAUUAUCUAUAGCUUGUGUAUGUACAAGUGAUGUCAGUAUUCCCUAACACUAGUCAUCCACUGUAUCCAGUGCAGGAAUUUGACGAGUUCAUCACCACUCGGAUGAUUGACAGUUUCGACAGUCACUGAAGAAAAUUAUUAACCACAUCCCAUAUUACUUUUGUGUGAGGAACAAAUAAUUGCUUUUCAUUCAAACCUCACCUAUUCUUUUUUAUAUUGCUAUCAUAUCUUACAAUAACUUUUAACUUGUUUAUUGGUUGUUUCCCAAAUUAGAAAAUCAAUUCAUAGCUGAUUUUCAGUU